AGGAAAGAAUGGGAUUUGAACCCAUGAACCCUUAAGAGGUUUCUGCUUUCAAGGCAAUUGCAUUAAACCACUCUGCCAUCUUUCC
rnacentral:tRNA from 1 species